CUGAGUACUACACUCUCUACCCUUUGUGAACUAUUAUACCUGUUGCUUCGGCGGCGCCCGCGAGGGUGCCCGCCGGUCUCAUCAGAAUCUCUGUUUUCGAACCCGACGAUACUUCUGAGUGUUCUUAGCGAGCUGUC
rnacentral:misc_RNA from 1 species